rnacentral:rRNA from 1 species
ACCAGACUCCUACGGGAGGCAGCAGUGGGGAAUAUUGCACAAUGGGGGGAACCCUGAUGCAGCGACGCCGCGUGAGUGAAGAAGUAUUUCGGUAUGUAAAGCUCUCUCAGCAGGGAAGAAAAUGACGGUACCUGACUAAGAAGCCCCGGCUAACUACGUGCCAGCAGCCGCGGUAAUACGUAGGGGGCAAGCGUUAUCCGGAUUUACUGGGUGUAAAGGGAGCGUAGACGGCAUGGCAAGUCAGAUGUGAAAGCCCGGGGCUCAACCCCGGGACUGCAUUUGAAACUGUCAGGCUGGAGUGCAGGAGGGGUAAGUGGAAUUCCUAGUGUAGCGGUGAAAUGCGUAGAUAUUAGGAGGAGCACCAGUGGCGAAGGCGGCUUACUGGACUGUAACUGACGUUGAGGCUCGAAAGCGUGGGGAGCGAACAGGAUUAGAUACCCUCGUA